rnacentral:rRNA from 1 species
UGCCCUAGUAACGGCGAGUGAAGCGGCAACAGCUCAAAUUUGAAAUCUGGCCCUAGGCCCGAGUUGUAAUUUGUAGAGGAUGCUUUUGGUGACGCGCCUACCGAGUCCCCUGGAAUGGGGCGCCACAGAGGGUGAGAGCCCCGUAUGGUUUGCCGCCGAGCCUCUGUAAAGCUCCUUCGACGAGUCGAGUAGUUUGGGAAUGCUGCUCUAAAUGGGAGGUAAAUUUCUUCUAAAGCUAAAUACCGGCCAGAGACCGAUAGCGCACAAGUAGAGUGAUCGAAAGAUGAAAAGCACUUUGAAAAGAGGGUUAAAUAGCACGUGAAAUUGUUGAAAGGGAAGCGCUUGUGACCAGACUCGCGCCGGGCGGAUCAUCCAGCGUUCUCGCUGGUGCACUCCGCCCGGCUCGGGCCAGCAUCGGUUUUCGCCGGGGGACAAAAGCUUCGGGAACGUGGCUCCCUUCGGGGAGUGUUAUAGCCCGUUGCAUAAUACCCCGGCGGGGACCGAGGACCGCGCUUCGGCAUGGAUGCUGGCGUAAUGGUCAUCAGCGACCCGUCUUGAAACACGGACCGAGGAGUCAAGCAUUAGUGCGAGUGUUUGGGUGUAAAACCCGCACGCGUAAUGAAAGUGAACGUAGGUGAGAGCUUCGGCGCAUCAUCGACCGAUCCUGAUGUUUUCGGAUGGAUUUGAGUAGGAGCAUUAACGCUUGGACCCGAAAGAUGGUGAACUAUACUUGAAUAGGGUGAAGCCA